AACGAACGCUGGCGGCAUGCCUAACACAUGCAAGUCGAACGAGACCUUCGGGUCUAGUGGCGCACGGGUGCGUAACGCGUGGGAACCUGCCCUUAGGUUCGGAAUAACUCCCCGAAAGGGGUGCUAAUACCGGAUAAUGUCUUCGGACCAAAGAUUUAUCGCCUUUGGAUGGGCCCGCGUUGGAUUAGCUAGUUGGUAGGGUAAAAGCCUACCAAGGCGACGAUCCAUAGCUGGUCUGAGAGGAUGAUCAGCCACACUGGGACUGAGACACGGCCCAGACUGCGGAGGUAGACGGAAGUUGGGAAUCUGAGACCUGGGGCGAACGGCUGGUCAAGGCAGGUCGCGUGUGAGGUGAAGUCCGUAGGGUAGUAAAUCUGUUGUACCGGAAAGGACAAUAACAGCACGGGGAGAAUAAGCAUCGGAAAACGCCGUGCCAGACGCCACGAAAUAGACACCAGCAACCGUCUGAAC
rnacentral:rRNA from 1 species